UUACUCCUUAUGUUUAAUGAAAAGUUUGAGAAAUUUUUCCUGAACCAGAUUUGUCAUUUAUGACCUUACUUUACUACAGCAGAAGUUAUAGAGAAAGGAUCUGGAUUUUUAAAGAGUUUUAUAAUAGGGUACGUGCCUCCUUGCCCUAUAACUGUAGGCAGAUGGGGUCACACGGCAAUGCACACACUUACCAUAAAGCUCAACUUUCUGUGGCCGCUUUCUCUCUUAGUUUUCUUCUUCCUUCUUUUCUUUAUUUUCUCCCAUCAUCCUGAUUUUCCUCUUUGCAAUAAGUAGAGUUAUCAAUGGUCCUAACUGAUCUGGUCUGAGCUCUCUGUUACUGAGUCAUCUUGCUUGCUUGCUUGCUCGCUUGCCCAGGGCACUGUAUUUACUCUCUGAACUGUGAAGCAGUUGUUCUUUAGUUUAUUACAGCCUCCGUCUCCAUUUAUUAAUAGGCCUCCUCAGCAAAGGCACUUGAAGUACAUUGCCGAAUACAAUAAUGAAACUGAUGCUACUGCAUCUACCCUCUGUACCAUGCACCGUGUGUUUCUCCUGUGCUCUCCGUGGCCUGGCAUAUGCUCUUUAUGCAGGCUUAUAGGAUAGGAUACCCAUACCUAUGGCAGGACAACCGUAUGAUCUUGAAUCUGUUUCCUGGUGAGUAAACACUGAUUUCUUUAAGGACUUGUGGGGAAAAUCCAUUUUAAUUCUCUGGGGAAUCCUACAAUCACAGGAUCUGGCUUGGUGGGAAGGAGCCUCACCACUGGCUCCAAAACUGCACUCUGCAUGAAAGGGGCCUGGUGAGUGGAAAAAAGCCCUGUGACUCCUCUGAGAAGCAAAUGCAACUGCUACUGCUCUCCUGCAGAGGAGACCCUCUGAUCAUGAUGAGCAACCCAAAAAGGAAGAGAAUGAGUGUGACGCAUCUUUUAUACCUUCAGGGAAAUUAUAAACUGAUCUGAUGCUAAUUGAUGCUAAUGAAAAGACGCCAGCAGACUUUGGUGUAGACCUGCAGGGAAGGACAUCACGUGAAUGGAGAAGCCAGCAGCCCCUGCUCUGCACCUCACUGACCCAACACACUUCAGGCCAGCAGCUGAUCCAGGGGGCUCAAGAAUAUCUUUGUUGAAAGAAAAGAUGUUUCUUCAACCAAAGGAAAUCAGAAAAAGAAAAAUGAGAUGAAGGAAAGAAAGAGCAUUUGUAUGAGCUUGCCCUGAGGAAUGUUUCGGUUUCUGUGCAUCCUUGACUUUUCUUUGAUCAUCUGAUAUUCCUGAAGUUUUCAAGUUGGUGUGUUCAUCCUUCCUCUCGUGCACACCAAGGAACUGAUCACACUGAUAUAAUUCCGCUGAAUUUGAGGGAACUACCUUUCAAAUUACACUGG